rnacentral:rRNA from 1 species
GACGAACGCUGGCGGCGUGCCUAAUACAUGCAAGUAGAACGCACAGUUUAUACCGUAGCUUGCUACACCAUAGACUGUGAGUUGCGAACGGGUGAGUAACGCGUAGGUAACCUGCCUGGUAGCGGGGGAUAACUAUUGGAAACGAUAGCUAAUACCGCAUAAUAUUAAUUAUUGCAUGAUAAUUAAUUGAAAGGUGCAAUUGCACCACUACCAGAUGGACCUGCGUUGUAUUAGCUAGUAGGUGAGGUAACGGCUCACCUAGGCGACGAUACAUAGCCGACCUGAGAGGGUGGUCGGGCACCCUGGGACUGAGACACGGCCCAGACUCCUACGGGAGGCAGCAGGAGGGAAUCUUCGGCAAUAGACGAAAGUCUGACCGAGCAACGCCGCGUGAGUGAAGAAGGGUUUCGGAUCGUAAAGCUCUGUUGUAAGAGAAGAACGGGUGUGAGAGUGGAAAGUUCACACUGUGACGGUAUCUUACCAGAAAGGGACGGCUAACUACGUG